rnacentral:rRNA from 1 species
UACGUAGGGUGCGAGCGUUAAUCGGAAUUACUGGGCGUAAAGCGUGCGCAGGCGGCUUGUAAGUCAGAUGUGAAAUCCCCGGGCUCAACCUGGGAACUGCGUUUGAAACUACAAGGCUAGAGUGUAGCAGAGGGGGGUAGAAUUCCACGUGUAGCAGUGAAAUGCGUAGAGAUGUGGAGGAAUACCAAUGGCGAAGGCAGCCCCCUGGGUUAACACUGACGCUCAUGCACGAAAGCGUGGGGAGCAAACAGG